rnacentral:rRNA from 1 species
UACGUAGGGUGCAAGCGUUAAUCGGAAUUACUGGGCGUAAAGCGUGCGCAGGCGGUUGUGCAAGACAGAUGUGAAAUCCCCGGGCUCAACCCGGGAACUGCGUCCGAUACUGGAAGGCUUGAAUCCGGGAGAGGGAUGCGGAAUUCCAGGUGUAGCGGUGAAAUGCGUAGAUAUCUGGAGGAACACCGGUGGCGAAGGCGGCAUCCUGGACCGGCAUUGACGCUGAGGCGCGAAAGCCAGGGGAGCAAACGGG